rnacentral:lncRNA from 1 species
CUCAUUGUAUCAUAUUUAAUAUCAGUUAGAUUUUUCUCCCGUGCUUUCUCACAAUCCUUUUGGCUGAGCUUCAUGAAUAUAUGAUGAGACUGUUAAGCUUAUGGAAAGCAGAUUCUUUUUUUUUUUUUGGAUGGAUAUGGAGACAAGAGCUUUGUUCUGUUUGGUGAUGCAUUCUCAAAUCCUAAGACUGUCCCCUGACAUUUUAGAGCUGUUAAAAAGGUUGCAAGAAUCAUAGGUACAGACAAUGCAGAACCUGCUUCAUUGAACAAUUUUUUUAUAGCACGAGUGUGAUAGUUUGACUGCACAUAUGUGUAUGGCUUAGUGGUCGAUGAAGCUAGAAUAAAGAUCAUGGCAGACCAGGACCUGAACCCUACCAGAGGAAAAGAAAAGUCAGGUGAUUUGUUCCCAGUGGGGACAGAUUUACACUAUACCUGUAUUGUUGCAAAGAUGUAAAUGUCCCAUGACAUAAUCUAGGCGAGGAUAAGUUAGUCUCAACACCAUUGUUUCCAAUUUUUCUUGUGUGUGCGUGGUGGGGAGUGGGGGUGGGGUGAGAGUUUGGCAUCCAGGAAGGAAAGACAUUUCAAAGCUCCAUGUUGUCAGCCAUUACUCAGUUUUUGUGGCUUGGAUGUAAUAUUGCGAACUUUUCCAUGUUUGUGAAAAGACAUAAGUUCUCAUCAUGCAGGUUUUUUAGAUAUAUAUACAGAUGCAAGAGGUCUAUAUUCUUCCAUUCAAGUGUCCACCAAUUUCUUCUAUUAUUCUUAAUCUGAUAAAUCUCAAACUUCACUGGAACUCUCCAAAUUACUUCAUCAUAAAACUCUCCAAGUACCUUGACUCUUCUAUCACGGAUAGCUUCAACAGAGGUACUCAGAACAAGUUGUAUAACCAAUCUACUCAAUCGUCCUCGGGUAAUAGUAUAAAUUCUCAAAGUCGCAAUUCUUUUUCAAAUUGAAGAGAAAACAAUCCAAUACAUACUACACAAAGGCAAUCUUUCACCUUUCUUUUUCUUGAUUCCUUUGAAGACUAAAGACCGCAUUAGAAAACCAAAAGAAUCAAAGUAAUUAUAGGUUAAUAUUGCCCAGUCUCGUUGUAUCUCAAUAGGAGAAUAUGUAAAAUAGUUUAUAUGGUAUUUUUUCCUUGGGUAAUAGUAUAAAUUCUACAGAACAAUCAAGAAAAAGUUCUUUUUUCAAAGCUAUAAAUAAUUAUUAAAUAUAUAGCCUUUGUAUAUUAUGAGAACCUCAAAGUCGCAUUUCUUUUUUGAUAGAUUAAAACUGCAUAUUUUAAUACGCCAACCACUAUCCCCAGGAAUGUCAUAACGCAAAUUAAAAAUUGUGAAGUAAUGAUUUCUUAUGAGAAAACAAAUGAUCUCUCCAUAUCUGACAAUGCUAUAGUACAUACAACAUGUACAUGCAUGCACCACAUAGUUAUAGAUAUGGCGAAGUAACACAAAAUUAUACGUCUCUUUGACA